rnacentral:rRNA from 1 species
GACGAACGCUGGCGGCGUGCCUAAUACAUGCAAGUAGAACGCUGAAGGAGGAGCUUGCUUCUCUGGAUGAGUUGCGAACGGGUGAGUAACGCGUAGGUAACCUGCCUGGUAGCGGGGGAUAACUAUUGGAAACGAUAGCUAAUACCGCAUAAUAGCAGUUAUUGCAUGAUAACUGUUUGAAAGGUGCAAUUGCACCACUACCAGAUGGACCUGCGUUGUAUUAGCUAGUUGGUGGGGUAGCGGCUCACCAAGGCGACGAUACAUAGCCGACCUGAGAGGGUGAUCGGCCACACUGGGACUGAGACACGGCCCAGACUCCUACGGGAGGCAGCAGUAGGGAAUCUUCGGCAAUGGACGGAAGUCUGACCGAGCAACGCCGCGUGAGUGAAGAAGGUUUUCGGAUCGUAAAGCUCUGUUGUAAGAGAAGAACGAGUGUGAGAGUGGAAAGUUCACACUGUGACGGUAUCUUACCAGAAAGGGACGGCUAACUACGUG